AUGGUGAGGCUGUGCACGCUUGCCAUGGUUGUGGCUACGAAAUCUCACACUGAGUCGCUUCGGUCGGGCACUAUUCAGACUAAAGUGAGAGUUUCUAGCAUAUUCCUCUUUUACGGUGACGCCAGAUUCGAAUUUGAAGGCGUACUUGUCCCUGAGCUGGUGGUGCCUGAGAACAACAACGACAACAUUCUGGUGCAUCAGGGGCACACAUCGUCUCCAAGCUCUGUCGCAAGCAACGCAGGCACGCCUCAGGCUCAAAGUCCGGUUGCUGUGCAGGCGAGCGGCAGCAGCCACUUACGUCUCUUCUAA
rnacentral:rRNA from 1 species